ACCUAGUGUUCUACAGUAAAUGGGAUUGUACCAGAUGUCCAUGGAUUAUUUUAUGUUUUCUAUGUGCAGAACGUGUUUAGUUAUAUUUUAUGUACAUUGUAUAAUUGAUUUUCUAACUUUGUGCUUUUUUUUUCUUUUUUUUUUUUUCUUCAUCUAAACAGAAACAAACACCAAAUGGUCUUAUGAAACAUCCAUUCUUAAGUGGAGAAAACCCAUUUGCUACAGUCAAGCUGCGCCCAACCGUAACAAACGACCGAUCGGCACCAAUUUUUCGAUGAGCGGAAUCCAUUAAUUUAAUGGUGUUUUUUUUCUAUAUCUUCUGUUAUGUAAAACAAUUUUUCCCCCCCAUUUUGUUUCAAUUUUUGAAAUGAUUUUGGCUCAGACCUCCAGAAAGAAGUCGAAUUCUGCAAAUAACGAUCGGCUAUUCAGAAGCGCCACAUGUGAUUAGUGACUCUUGUAAUGAUUGCCAAUGUCUUUGAGCAGGAAUAAGUUAUUGUGGUAAAACAGGUUUAUGUACACGCAUUUUUCUCCAAAUAUGUUCUUCAUCGUCCACACUUGUCAUGACCUCACACCUUAAGUAAUAAAGAGCUCAUACAGGGA